UGUGUGUAUGUGUGUGUGUGUUCAACUGGACAAAGGCAUGAAACACAGGAGCAAAAAUAAAUUCUCUCUUGCAACCCAGAACUCAUUGUUCAGUGUCAGUUUUGAUACAUACAAGACAAUAUG
rnacentral:snoRNA from 1 species